UCUUUUCGAGGUAGGAGUCGACUCCUGUGAGGUAUGGUGCUGGGUGCAGAUGCAGUGUGGCUCUGGAUAGCACCUUAUGGACAGUUGUGUCCCCAAGGAAGGAUGAGAAUAGCUACUGAAGUCCUAAAGAGCAAGCCUAACUCAAGCCAUUGGCACACAGGCAUUAGACAGAAAGCUGGAAGUUGAAAUGGUGGAGUCCAACUUGCCUGGACCAGCUUAAUGGUUCUGCUCCUGGUAACGUUUUUAUCCAUGGAUGACUUGCUUGGGGUUUUUAAUGACCACAACAAGCAAGCAUGCAGCUUACUGCUUGAAAGGUGAGGAUUGGAAAUGUUGGGACUAUUAUAAUUGCAGAAUACAUGAUGAUCUCAAUCCAACUUGAACUCUCUCACUGAUUACUUGAUGACAAUAAAAUAUCUGAUAUUCUGCA
rnacentral:lncRNA from 1 species